UACGGAGGAUCCAAGCGUUAUCCGGAAUCAUUGGGUUUAAAGGGUCCGUAGGCGGUUUUAUAAGUCAGUGGUGAAAUCCGGCAGCUUAACUGUCGAACUGCCAUUGAUACUGUAGAACUUGAAUUAUUAUGAAGUAACUAGAAUAUGUAGUGUAGCGGUGAAAUGCUUAGAGAUUACAUGGAAUACCAAUUGCGAAGGCAGGUUACUAAUAAUACAUUGACGCUGAUGGACGAAAGCGUGGGUAGCGAACAGG
rnacentral:rRNA from 1 species